AAAAUUCCAGAUUGCAUCAAAGAAUUGCAUGGGCUAGUAUCGCUUUGGGUAUAUGGAUGUUCAAAACUUGCAUCAAUUCCAGAGCUCCCCGCCUCAAUCAAAAGAUUAAUAGCUGAAUACUGUGAAUCAUUGAAGACAGUAUCUCUGCCUUUUGACUCUGAAUUCAUCUGCAAUAUCAACAACUGCUUCAACUUGGGCCGAGAUUCAAGGACAGUAAUAAAGAAAUCAUUAGGGGCAUGCCUACCUGGAAGUUCUAUACCUGCAGAGUUUAAUCACAAGGCUGUAGGAAACUCCUUGACUAUCCGGUCAGAUUUCAGAGAAUUUAGGUUUUGCGCUGUGGUUUUCCCUAAACAGAAGAUUAUAGAAAGUUAUCCUGAGUUGUUCUGUCGCAUUCGUGUAAACAAGGGGUGCCCCACUGACCAUAAUAUGUAUAUGCAUCUCCGUAGUAUCCUAGUGGAACAUCUAUGUUUUUCUUAUGCUGAUUUGGUUGAGGUACAUGGAUGGCUCGAACAGGAGAAUGAGAUAAUGUUUGAGUUCAUCACAUGCCAGGACCUCGACAUUAUUGAAUGUGGUGUCCAGAUCAUGACAGAGGAAAGCGAGAGAAGAAGAAGGAUUGAGUUUGAUGACGCCAGCAAAGCUUCUCAAGACAGUGAACUUACGGACCGACUAAUCUGCUACCCGAAACAGAAAAACAAUAGCUAAGCCGAGAAACGUACAGAUUGUUGGAACUCCGAUCCUGUGAGAAGCACUGCAAGCUUGUUUCGGGGAAGAAGAUAACAUUAAUCUUUUCAAAUGUAUUUUUUAUCGUCUCAUAUGUGUAUCUUUAACUGUCAUAUAUACACAAUCUCUAUUUAGUGAGGCAAAAACACUAAUAUUCAAGAUCUGCAGCAUCUUCUUGUUACACUCAAACAGAGAAUAGAUUGAAUAAAAACGAAUGUACUGGUCCGUGAAUAGAACAACAUCUUAUGUUUUUAUGUAAUUCAUAUGUAUUGUUCUCGAAAUCAAACAAGAGAGGAUAACGACCUAAAUUGUAACGUUUUGACCUUGAGGUAUUUACAGACAAAACUCAGAACAUUGUACUCCUUAUUAGAGCUAGAUUCAUACAUCCAACCUGAUCCACAUCGAUCCUGCACAUUUUGAGAUUGAAGUGUUAAAAGCCAUCAUCUCGAAUGGGCGUAUUAUAGACAAUUUUUUACCUUGAAAAUUGGAAGGAAUUCUAAUAUAUAAGAUAGAUGAACCAAACAAUUUAUCACCAAUUGGUUUUUACGUUGGAAGUUCAUCUAAAUUAACAUGACUCUAGGCAGAUCAUACAUAGAUCAAGAACAACACUCUUUUGUGCCAGGUUUAAACCUGGUGAGAGAAGAGUUUUAUAUGGUGCAACCUAAUAAUAUGUAGUAAAAAAGAUUCAGCUCUCUUAGCUAGCAUAAUUUUGUGAGAGACGACCUUGACAAUUUUCGCUAAGGCAUCAAGUAACUCCACCCUAAUGAAUCAUCUUCCUCCAGAGAGGGAGAUCCAAAAAUUUCGUAGCAAUCUUCCGCUAAGGAGAGCUAUGAGUUUGAUAUUGAGGACGUGUUUGAAGAAUUAAACAGUGAUGUUGUAACCUGGGAAUAAGGAGGACGGGUUCGAAGGGAAGAUGAAAUAUUUAGAUUGUUGAAAGUUGAUCAUCCUUUGCUUCGAUGUCUCUCUCAUACUCCGAACCUCUCUCAUGGUUUGUAAAUUGUAAUUUUAAGGU
rnacentral:lncRNA from 1 species